UCACAAAGCUGAUGGGAAAUGUGUCGGCUGUAUUUCAACACUGAGGACGUCUGGCAGCAUCAAUAAGAAGCUCAUCUUAAUAUCAACCGUCAAAAGGAUUUGUUUGUAUCAUAUUAUAAGUUUAAAUUACAUUUAAUCAGCACAUUAGUUGAAGUUUUAUAGGAACCGAUGGAUCAUGGAUUAUUCACCGAAGAAGAAUUUGUCAUUGAGCUGAUGGGAAUGUGUCGGCACUCGGCUUCGUUUCUAUCCGGAGGAAGAUUGGCAGCAUCAAUAAGAAGCACAACUUAAUAUCAACUGUCCAACAGCUUUGAAGAAGAAUUUGUCACAAAGUUGAUGGAAAAUGUGUCGGCUGUAUUUCAACACUGAGGACGUCUGGCGGCAUCAGUAACAAGUUCUUCUUAAUAUCAACUGUCCAAAGGAUUUGUUUUGAAGAAGGAUUUGUCACAAAGCUCAUGGGAAAUGUGUCAGCACUCGGCUUCGUUUCAACCCGGAGGAAGAUUGGCAGCAUCAAUGAGAAGCUCAUCUUAAUAUCAACCGUCAAAAGGAUUUGUUUGUAUCAUAUUAUAAGUUUAAAUUACAUUUAAUCAGCACAUUAGUUGAAGUUUUAUAGGAACCGAUGGAUCAUGGAUUAUUCACCGAAGAAGAAUUUGUCAUUGAGCUGAUGGGAAUGUGUCGGCACUCGGCUUCGUUUCUACCCGGAGGAAGAUUGGCAGCAUCAAUAAGAAGCACAACUUAAUAUCAACUGUCCAACAGCUUUGAAGAAGAAUUUGUCACAAAGUUGAUGGAAAAUGUGUCGGCUGUAUUUCAACACUGAGGACGUCUGGCGGCAUCAGUAACAAGUUCAUCUUAAUAUCAACUGUCCAAAGGAUUUUGAAGAAGGAUUUGUCACAAAGCUCAUGGGAAAUGUGUCAGCACUCGGCUUCGUUUCAACCCGGAGGAAGAUUGGCAGCAUCAAUGAGAAGCUCAUCUUAAUAUCUACCGUCAAAAGGACUUAGUUUAGUACAUAGAUUUAUUAAAUUAUUUGUAGUUUAUAUUGUAGUUGUAAUGAUGUAGUAUAUACUUUAUAAGUAGUUUAUUAAUUUAGACUUAUCUAAUAGCUAUUCCACU